GGUGUGAAUGUACUGGGUCAUAGAGGGGGUGUGAAUGUACUGGGUCAUAGAGGGGGUGUGAAUGUACUGGGUCAUAGAGGGGGGACAUGUGAAUGUACUGGGGUCAUAGAGGGGGGGUGAAUGUACUGGGUCAUAGAAUGGGUGUGAAUGUACUGGGUCAUAGAGGGGGUGUGAAUGUACUGGGGUCAUAGAGGGGAUGUGAAUGUACUGGGGUCAUAGAGGGGAUGUGAAUGUACUGGGUCAUAGAGGGGGUGUGAAUGUACUGGGGCAUAGAGGGGGGUGUGAAUGUACUGGGUCAUAGAGGGGGUGUGAAUGUACUGGGGUCAUAGAGGGGAUGUGAAUGAUGUACUGGGUCAUAGAGGGGAUGUGAAUGUACUGGGUCAUAGAGGGGUGUGAAUGUACUGGGUCGUGAAGGGGGAGUGAAUGUACUUGGUCGUAGAGGGGAUGUGAAUGUACUUGGUCAUAGAGGGGAUGUGAAUGUACUGGGUCAUAGAGGGGAUGUGAAUGUACUGGGGUCAUAGAGGGG
ensembl:lncRNA